AAGCGUUUUAUAUAUAAACACUGAUGUUUAAACUGGUGUUCAAUAAGUAGGGUGUUUAAUCAUCCGUCUUAAACACGUAAUGUUCAUAUGCAUCAAAUCAAAAAAUAAAUUAGGUGUUGCUUCUUAGUAUUUGUUGUAUGAAUUUGUCAUUUUUACAAUGUCUUAAUUUACGAAGUAAUUCCGGACAUAAUAUUAGAUAUUUAUCGACACAGAAAAAAAUACGAAUAGGAAGGAAAUAUGUUGACUUUAGAUCAUACCAAACGCAUUCACAAUUAACAUUAAUUGGUAGUAAUUUUGUGCCAAAAUUUCAAAAUUUUCAGAAACUGUUAAAGAGGAAAUAGAAACAAAUAUUAUGAUAUUUUCUAUAAUUGUAUCAAUAUUUUAAUCACCGGUGUUUAACAAGAGUGUUCAUUUCUUAACCAUAUAUAUUUAUAAAUUAAACACAUGGUAUUUAUAUAGAAAUUGCAAAUUAAACACCAGUGUUUAAUUCGUUAUGAUAGAAAAUGACGCAGUUGAUUAUGUCAUAACAUGCCAUUUGAACGCAGAAGAUGCAGAAUCACGCACAUACUGACAAGAAACACCAUAUCUAGCAAGGAAAUAGGAGGGACAUUCAUCUGUUACUGUGAAUCUUGAGAAGCAAACAUCACUUGAUAAAGGAAAUGGAUUUAAACGAAGAUCAUACUUAACCUUGAGAGGAUAUGAAGGAAUUAAAACUACUUGGGGUGAAUACAGUUUUGGAGAAUGGAAAACUGGAGAUCAUCAUCCGUUGUAGAAGAACCUGAAUUUUACCCACAACCAGAGGAGCUAGACUGUUUAACUCGGUUAGAAUAUGAUAUGGAUAUUAAGUGAGUGAUACCCCUGCAGCUCUUGUUUAGUAGCAAGAAUUGGUUCUUUACAGGUCAAAACUGGAUAUUUUCUUCAUUUGGUUAAAAAUCUGAAUAUUUGUGAAAGUAUAAACUUGUAACAUUUACAACUAGAUUAAUUAGUGUAAUACAAGUACAUAUUAUACAUGCCGUACCCAGACAACAAAUAUUAUUUUCAGUUUUUUUGCAUCAUAUUUAUUCGUCAUUUUGCUUGUUUUAUUUUUUAAAAAAGAUGUUAAGGAUUACCUAGACUUUUAAAAAAAAACAAAACAUUUUAUUAAGCGAUAAUGUAUUUUUUUCAUAUUUCAAAGACCCCCCCUCCCGACACCAAUUUAUUGGAGUUUAGUUUAAACAUGCAGGUUUAACAUGUUCAUGCUAGUUUAUUUUUAGAAUUCUAUUUUUUCAACUAAAAUUGAAUAAUGUAUCCAUGUGUUGGUAAAUGUGUUAUUUAAUGUUUCAGUUGUUUAUAAAGUUUGAACCCUCAAUCAACAUUAAAUCAUUUAUUAAUAAAACAAAAAAAGCUUUAUGUAUAACAUAUUCAUUAUCAACCACAGUGUGUUUUGUACUGAUUUAUAUUUGUUUCA